rnacentral:rRNA from 1 species
UACAGAGGUCCCAAGCGCUGUUCGGAUUCACUGGGCGUAAAGGGUGCGUAGGCGGUAGGAUAAGUCUGGUGUGAAAGCUCAGGGCUCAACCCUGAAAUUGCAUUGGAAACUAUCUUACUAGAGGAUUGGAGGGGAGACUGGAAUUCUCAGUGUAGCAGUGAAAUGCGUAGAUAUUGAGAGGAACACCAGUGGCGAAGGCGAGUCUCUGGACAAUUCCUGACGCUGAGGCACGAAAGCCGGGGGAGCAAACAGG